UACGAAGGGGGCUAGCGUUGCUCGGAAUCACUGGGCGUAAAGGGUGCGUAGGCGGGUCUUUAAGUCAGGGGUGAAAUCCUGGAGCUCAACUCCAGAACUGCCUUUGAUACUGAAGAUCUUGAGUUCGGGAGAGGUGAGUGGAACUGCGAGUGUAGAGGUGAAAUUCGUAGAUAUUCGCAAGAACACCAGUGGCGAAGGCGGUUCACUGGCCCGGUACUGACGCUGAGGUGCGAAAGCGUGGGGAGCAAACAGG
rnacentral:rRNA from 1 species